rnacentral:lncRNA from 1 species
UAAAUGCACCUUCUCUAGAAAACAUGCAUUCAAGACCUCAAUUGUUAGGGCUUGGUUUUGGGUUGGGGAUUAUUGAAAGAAAAGUAAGUUAUCUAUCUUCAGGGGCUAUAUAUUCCAGUCAAGAGGCUCAGUAGAGAGAAAUGCCUAAAAUAGGAAUUACAAGGCCAGACUUAGUGGCCUUGUGUCAUAGGAGCCAUGGUGUUUAAUAUCAGACUUUGUUUUAACAAUUGAAAGCCCACCGAAGGUGCACUAAAGCAAGCCCUUGAUUUAUUUUUUGAGUCAAACUUCUUGUGGUGUUUUGCGGGGAUAGUGCUUAUUGAAUUUUGGGUUUCUUUGAAAUAAUCACUGUUUGUUUCCCCUUUGUAGCUGGGAACUUCUGGGGUAGGACGUUGUCUGCUAUCUCCAGUUCCACAGACCCAACCAGUUACGAUGGUUUUGGACCAUUUAUGCCGGGAUUCGACAUCAUUCCCUAUAAUGAUCUGCCCGCACUGGAGCGUGCUCUUCAGGAUCCAAAUGUGGCUGCGUUCAUGGUAGAACCAAUUCAGGGUGAAGCAGGCGUUGUUGUUCCGG